rnacentral:sRNA from 1 species
GCUGGGCAUGGUGGCGCAUGCCUGUAAUCCCAGCAACUCAGGAGGAAGCAGCAGGAGGAUUGCAAUUCCAAGGCCAGCCUUAGCAAUUUAGUGGAGCCCUAAGCAACUCAGUGAGACCCUGUCU